AGCUUUGUACUAACAGUUCCAUAUUGGCAACAUCAGAAUGACAAAAUAGAAAGUAGAGAACAAUCUUCUUAAGCACUGCUCUUGAUAACUUCAUCAUCUACAUAACUUGCUUUCAGCUCGCCCUUAACAUCUGCGUCUUGGAAAUAAUCCUCGCGAGCAUUAUCAGCUAACAUCAAAGCCACCAACCAGAAGAGCGCAGAAUCAAGAGACAAAAAGGCGCCUCCACCAAGAAGACCGGUCUUGGCUGUUGGGCAAUCGGUUUGCAAGUUGUGAUGGAUGUUGCGAGAGAUAUGAAGUUGCUCGGAGAUUGUAGGCCACAAUAAUAAUGCUGCUGCUAAACCAGUUGUGCCCCUUUGAUUCAAAGGCAGAAAAUACCAAAAGAACCAUAAGUUCAAUCACUCGCAUACAACAACAACAACAACAACAACAACAACAACAACAACAAAAACAACAAUAAACCCAGCGUAAUCCAACAAGUGAGGUACGGGGAAGUUAAUGUGUACACAUAUCUUACCCCUAUCCUGUGAAGGUAGAGAGGUUGUUUUAGGUUCAAUCACUCACAUCCCACCAAGAAAGGAAGUGAACUCAAUAGCAUCAUUUUUUGUGAUGAGAUACAAGUUCAAUCACUAAAAGAGAAAAAAUGAGGGAACUAAAAGACAAG
rnacentral:lncRNA from 1 species